CUACGGGCGGCUCCAGUGAGGAAUAUUGCACAAUGGGGGGAACCCUGAUGCAGCAACGCCGCGUGGAGGAUGACGCAUUUCGGUGUGUAAACUCCUUUUAUAUGUCAAGAAAAUGACGGUAGCAUAUGAAUAAGCACCGGCUAACUCCGUGCCAGCAGCCGCGGUAAUACGGAGGGUGCAAGCGUUACUCGGAAUCACUGGGCGUAAGGGACGCGUAGGCGGGUUGGAAAGUCAGGUGUGAAAUCCUACAGCUUAACUAUAGAACUGCACUUGAAACUUCUAAUCUAGAGUAUGGGAGGGGGAGAUGGAAUUAGUGGUGUAGGGGUAAAAUCCGUAGAUAUCACUAGGAAUACCUAAAGCGAAGGCGAUCUCCUGGAACAUUACUGACGCUAAGGCGUGAAAGCGUGGGGAGCAAACAGGAUUAGAUACCCCCGUAGUC
rnacentral:rRNA from 1 species